GUUAGAGAUGUCCGAUAUUAUCGGCCCACCGAUAUUAUCGGCCCACCGAUAUUAUCGGCCCGAUAUUAGCAUAAAAAUGUAAUAUCGGUCAAUAUCGGUAUCGGAUUUUUUUUGCCUUAAAACCGAUAAAAUAUAUAUAUAUAUAUAUAUAUAUAUAUAUAUUUUUUUUUUUUUAUAGCUCAAAUAAAUGUUUUCAAAAUUGUGCAGUACAGUGCACAUUGUAAUUGACUCAUAUUUGUGCAUUUAUUCAAUUAAGGUUAUUGAGUUUUAGUUAAAGAAACAUACUGCUAUGUUGCACAUGGUUGUUCAGGUACAAUGUUUUAUCAUUUGUGAAGUCAAGUUUGCCCUAUUUGUUGUGGGCAUUGUCAAGAUUAUCUCAGGGAGAGUGUAAUCCAAACUGUUGUCUGAGACCAUUAAAAAAAAUAAAAUAAACAUGGCACUUUUCCCUUAAAUUAAGUUGAAGUAUUUUUCUUAUUUUGCACAGACAAUGUUAACAUUUGGAAAGCCUUGUUGCAUUCAAGAAUGCAUCCAGUGGGGCAUCACAAUAACAUUAAGCAUGUUGUGUUAAUUCCACAACAGGAGAUAUGUAAUGUUACCUAAAUUAGGUUUGAGGAAAAAUAACCCAAAUAUCGACAUCGGUAUCGGCUGAUAUCGGAAUCGAAAAUUUAGAGUUGGACAAUAUCGCAUAU